rnacentral:rRNA from 1 species
AGCGACUAAGCGUACACGGUGGAUGCCCUGGCAGUCAGAGGCGAUGAAGGACGUGCUAAUCUGCGAUAAGCGUCGGUAAGGUGAUAUGAACCGUUAUAACCGGCGAUUUCCGAAUGGGGAAACCCAGUGUGAUUCGUCACACUAUCAUUAACUGAAUCCAUAGGUUAAUGAGGCGAACCGGGGGAACUGAAACAUCUAAGUACCCCGAGGAAAAGAAAUCAACCGAGAUUCCCCCAGUAGCGGCGAGCGAACGGGGAGCAGCCCAGAGCCUGAAUCAGUGUGUGUGUUAGUGGAAGCGUCUGGAAAGGCGUGCGAUACAGGGUGACAGCCCCGUACACAAAAAUGCACAUACUGUGAGCUCGAUGAGUAGGGCGGGACACGUGGUAUCCUGUCUGAAUAUGGGGGGACCAUCCUCCAAGGCUAAAUACUCCUGACUGACCGAUAGUGAACCAGUACCGUGAGGGAAAGGCGAAAAGAACCCCGGCGAGGGGAGUGAAAAAGAACCUGAAACCGUGUACGUACAAGCAGUGGGAGCACGCUUAGGCGUGUGACUGCGUACCUUUUGUAUAAUGGGUCAGCGACUUAUAUUCUGUAGCAAGGUUAACCGAAUAGGGGAGCCGAAGGGAAACCGAGUCUUAACUGGGCGUUAAGUUGCAGGGUAUAGACCCGAAACCCGGUGAUCUAGCCAUGGGCAGGUUGAAGGUUGGGUAACACUAACUGGAGGACCGAACCGACUAAUGUUGAAAAAUUAGCGGAUGACUUGUGGCUGGGGGUGAAAGGCCAAUCAAACCGGGAGAUAGCUGGUUCUCCCCGAAAGCUAUUUAGGUAGCGCCUCGUGAAUUCAUCUCCGGGGGUAGAGCACUGUUUCGGCAAGGGGGUCAUCCCGACUUACCAACCCGAUGCAAACUGCGAAUACCGGAGAAUGUUAUUACGGGAGACACACGGCGGGUGCUAACGUCCGUCGUGAAGAGGGAAACAACCCAGACCGCCAGCUAAGGUCCCAAAGUCAUGGUUAAGUGGGAAACGAUGUGGGAAGGCCCAGACAGCCAGGAUGUUGGCUUAGAAGCAGCCAUCAUUUAAAGAAAGCGUAAUAGCUCACUGGUCGAGUCGGCCUGCGCGGAAGAUGUAACGGGGCUAAACCAUGCACCGAAGCUGCGGCAGCGACGCUUAUGCGUUGUUGGGUAGGGGAGCGUUCUGUAAGCCUGUGAAGGUGUGCUGUGAGGUAUGCUGGAGGUAUCAGAAGUGCGAAUGCUGACAUAAGUAACGAUAAAGCGGGUGAAAAGCCCGCUCGCCGGAAGACCAAGGGUUCCUGUCCAACGUUAAUCGGGGCAGGGUGAGUCGACCCCUAAGGCGAGGCCGAAAGGCGUAGUCGAUGGGAAACAGGUUAAUAUUCCUGUACUUGGUGUUACUGCGAAGGGGGGACGGAGAAGGCUAUGUUGGCCGGGCGACGGUUGUCCCGGUUUAAGCGUGUAGGCUGGUUUUCCAGGCAAAUCCGGAAAAUCAAGGCCGAGGCGUGAUGACGAGGCACUACGGUGCUGAAGCAACAAAUGCCCUGCUUCCAGGAAAAGCCUCUAAGCAUCAGGUAACAUCAAAUCGUACCCCAAACCGACACAGGUGGUCAGGUAGAGAAUACCAAGGCGCUUGAGAGAACUCGGGUGAAGGAACUAGGCAAAAUGGUGCCGUAACUUCGGGAGAAGGCACGCUGAUACGUAGGUGAAGCGACUUGCUCGUGGAGCUGAAAUCAGUCGAAGAUACCAGCUGGCUGCAACUGUUUAUUAAAAACACAGCACUGUGCAAACACGAAAGUGGACGUAUACGGUGUGACGCCUGCCCGGUGCCGGAAGGUUAAUUGAUGGGGUUAGCGCAAGCGAAGCUCUUGAUCGAAGCCCCGGUAAACGGCGGCCGUAACUAUAACGGUCCUAAGGUAGCGAAAUUCCUUGUCGGGUAAGUUCCGACCUGCACGAAUGGCGUAAUGAUGGCCAGGCUGUCUCCACCCGAGACUCAGUGAAAUUGAACUCGCUGUGAAGAUGCAGUGUACCCGCGGCAAGACGGAAAGACCCCGUGAACCUUUACUAUAGCUUGACACUGAACAUUGAGCCUUGAUGUGUAGGAUAGGUGGGAGGCUUUGAAGUGUGGACGCCAGUCUGCAUGGAGCCGACCUUGAAAUACCACCCUUUAAUGUUUGAUGUUC